rnacentral:tRNA from 1 species
GCACACGUAGCUCAGCUGGAUAGAGCGCCGGAUUGCUAAUCUGGAGGUCGUGAGUUCGAGCCUCACCGAGUGAU